rnacentral:rRNA from 1 species
UACGGAGGAUGCGAGCGUUAUCCGGAUUUACUGGGCGUAAAGGGAGCGUAGGCGGACUUUUAAGUGAGAUGUGAAAUACUCGGGCUCAACUUGAGUGCUGCAUUUCAAACUGGAAGUCUAGAGUGCAGGAGAGGAGAAUGGAAUUCCUAGUGUAGCGGUGAAAUGCGUAGAGAUUAGGAAGAACACCAGUGGCGAAGGCGAUUCUCUGGACUGUAACUGACGCUGAGGCUCGAAAGCGUGGGGAGCAAACAGG